UUUUUUGAAGUGUUCCACAUUAUCUUUUCAAGAUAAAAAUGUUUUUUACUAAAGCGAUAUAUU
rnacentral:tRNA from 1 species